CGAACGAAAAGUUAUCUUACGAAAUACGGUUCGUAAGAGAAAAUGAAAUACUUUUUUUUUCGAAUCUAUAUUAUUAUAUCCUCGCGAGUGGAUAUAAAGAAAGAGCUGGGAGGUGCAAAGAUAUUUGUACAGGUUAGAAAAUGGAAAGAUCGUUUUAAUCGUGUUCCUCUUCCUACGAAUAAUUUCCUUGAAUCGGUUUUCGCGAGAACAGGCGCAUGCUCGCGCACACGGUCCAUUCACUAACGUAACGCUUUACAACUGUUUCCGCCCCCACUCCCGGCCGGAAGUCCCGUUUCAUUCAUGGAUCGGUCACAAUGGUGGUUUUACGCGGCUAUUGAGGACGCCUGCCUCCCGCCACGCCCCUGCUGCUUCUCCCUCUCCACCUCGUUCUCACUCCCUCCCGCCCCUUUCGUUCCCUUACCUUUCCCUCUUUUUCUUUCCUCUCUCUCUUCUUCCUUCUCGUAUUCGUCCGCUGCACGCUCUCCCUUUCUCUCUCUCACCCGUUCAUCCCAGCUUUUCACUUCUCUUUCGCACGCGCGCACGCACACCGCGCAGCUCUUCCACCGUACAAUUCUUUCCCUCUCUCUCUCGUUCCCAUUCAUGUUUCAUAGCUUUGUCCUCGUCCACCGUUCUCCCAUACGCCUCGCACCCUUUGUAACUAACCGUGCAACGUUGCACGAACGGCAAAGGGUCCUUCUCGUGAAACCUUUGCGCACGUUUUCCUAUAUUGCCUGACGAUCGACGACGAGUUCGAUACCUCAACACGAAAAAUUCGGAACGGAGAAUUCGAGAAGGAAAGAAACGUGGAAGCCGGGAAGGUCGAAUUCAUAAAAUUGUCGCCCGACAAAUCAUCGUGGGAACAAGGUGAUUCCGGGGAAUCGAUUCUACGAAGCAAACGGUAACGACGACUUCCGCUCGCCUUGGGAGCACACAAAGAUGCCGAAGCCAGACCAUGCUGUGCACGUAUAGUGCUCGCACGGUUGUUGAAUACGCGUGCGCGGCCGGAAAGUUCGUAUAGAGAUAGAGGAAACGAAAUUGAUGCUAUUAAACACGGGAAUUUUUGCUACGAUACUCAUCCUCGGCGAUCAACUUUCUCGGAAAAUCCUUUUUUUUUUUUUAAUAAUUGUGAUAUUUUUCAUCCAAUUGUACUAAUUAUCUUGAAAUAUUUCUGACGGAAAAUAUUAUUAAGAAUCAUUUUUACGAAUUGAUUUACGAAUUGAAGGGGACGCGAUAAUUUGACAAUCGAUUACGGAAAAAUAUAUUUUUGAAAAGAAUAUGUUUAAUCAUUCAAUAAAAAUUAUGUAAUAAAUUUCUAAAUUUCAUAUAGAAUACGAAGUUAGAAAUUUAAUUAUUACUUUCUAUCAUUCACGAGAAUAGAUGUAAAAAGAUGGGAAAAAAGUUAAAAAAUUAUAUAUUACUGCGCGAACACUCCCCCAAAAUGUUUCUUCAUUUAUAGAUUCCUUUUUACAAUACUUAUUUAAUUUAUUAAUAAUUAUUCACGCGAUAAUAAUAUUCGAGGAGCAGAGAGAAACGCGACCGUCCUGCUCGGCGUC